rnacentral:rRNA from 1 species
UGACGCAGCAAUGCCGCGUGAGUGAAGAAGGCCUUCGGGUCGUAAAGCUCUUUUAUGGGGGAAGAUGAUGACGGUACCCCAUGAAUAAGCACCGGCUAACUACGUGCCAGCAGCCGCGGUAAUACGUAGGGUGCGAGCGUUGUUCGGAAUUACUGGGCGUAAAGGGCGUGCAGGCGGAUUGGCAAGCCGGAGGUGAAAGCCCGGGGCUCAACCCCGGAGGGUCUUUCGGAACUGCCAGUCUUGAGAGGGUCAGGGGCCAGCGGAAUUCCUGGUGUAGAGGUGAAAUUCGUAGAGAUCAGGAGGAACACCGGCGGCGAAAGCGGCUGGCUGGGGCCACUCUGACGCUGAGGCGCGAAAGCGUGGGGAGCAAACAGGAUUAGAUACCCUGGUAGUCCACGCCGUAAACGAUGGGCACUAAGCGUCCGACGGGUUCGACCCUGUUGGGUGCUGCAGUUAACGCGUUAAGUGCCCCGCCUGGGGAGUACGGUCGCAAGACUA